GCACUGGUGUUUCAAUGGUAGAAUUCUCGUCUCCCAUACAGGAGAUCUGGGUUCAGUUCCUGGCCAGUGCA
rnacentral:tRNA from 1 species